GGUGUCCAAGGAUUGUGUUUGAAAGGGAGGAAGCAUUCUUGAAGUGGUGGGUGACAGAUUGUCUAAACCCUUCUAAGAUAUUCUGCACGGGAGAUUUUUGAGGCAGCUCAGCCAUGAAGAUCCCCUGGAGGAAAGGGCACCCCCUGGGCCAGCCCCGUAAGCCAAUCGCCCUCUAAGACUCCAGGGACCAAGGGGCAAGCUGAAGGGGUCCAAGGCCGGAGGAUGCUGGAGGACAAAAGAAAUAUUUGGACGUCAGAACUGAUUUAUAUUUUUGGAAGAGCUACGUUUCCUUUUCUGAAGAGAGGCGAGCGCGCCCCAUAUCCUGCGCUCGGCGGGAGGACUGCAGCGAGUCUUGAUGCGCCAGGAAGUUCAUCUGCGCGGAGUCGCGGGGCCCAGCGCCCCGCCGAGAUCGCUGCCCUCCUAGAUAUUUAUUUAUUUAUUUGGGGGGGAAGGGAAGGCAGAGGGCGAGGAGACCCUGCCAAACUAGAGAAGAAAACCCGGCCACUGGGUUGGGACCUCCAGGGCGCUUCCGUGAAAGCCUGCCCGCAGCCAGCCGACUUUCCCGCUCCAUCGGGGAGGUCUGGGGCCAGCCUUGCAGCCUCUGGGUGUUGGUGGGUGUUUUCUGUAGCAUCCCUGUGUGCAUGCCCAGUGCCCUCCUGGAGUGACCUCUUCGGGCUCUGCAGAGCUUCCCCGUGUGAGCCCGAGUGGCAAGCCACCCUAGCCACCUCCAAGGUGGAAGAAAGGAGGGGGUUGAGAAAACUCAAAGAGGGAGAGAGAGGGUAGGGAGAGAGGUAGGUGGGAAGGGAGGGGUGUGCAUGCGAAUUCCCAAGAGAAAAGAUAACCAGGGACAGGCAAGGUGGCCACUCCUGAGUGUACUGUGCUGUCUGCUAUAGUGUCAAGGCCAUGAGGCCACCAGACUCCCACAGGUUUCUAGAUAAUCUCAAAGCCCCAAAGCCAGCAGAUAUUUUCCCCCAGCUGUACAAGAGGCCUCUCAGAAUCAACGUGCCUAGGGGGCAUCUGCACUCACACUCUCUUCCCAGAUACGAAGUGCAGGUCUCCCAACUUCUUCAUCUUCCUUUGAGGGGGACCCUGGCCUGUGCCCUUGGCACCGCCAUCCCUAAACAUAGCAGGCUGUAGAAACCUAAAUGGCACUUGUUCCUUCCUGCAGGGGUGGGGUGAGAGUGGGUACUGUGGGGACAGGUUCCUCGUGGAACUCUCAUUAUGGCCAUCUAGAAAUGGAUAGAAAGAGGCCUAGGAGUUUUUGUUGUUGUUGUGUUGUUUUGUUUUGAAAGGAGGGGAGGUCUGGUAGAUUAGCCCUUUGUCCUCCCACUCCAAGCACCUCUAUGACCUGGCCAACUGGGUCACACAGAGUCUUGCCUAUAGCCAGACCUCCUGAGCUGUGGCACUGAUCUUUGAGGAGGGUGGCUUUAAGAGUCCUGCCCUGAACACAUGCACUUGGAGUGCUGAUGGAUGAAUGCAAAUAAAAUCUGGCUCUUGCCUCUCUCACUAGGCAUAUAUAGAAGUAUAGAAGGAGUAUAGAAGUUCUUGGCCAAGGAAAGAGAGCAGACUGUAAAACGAGGUUUAAAAUUAUUAGCUAUGCCUUCCAGAUUAAGUUCCUCUCUCCAAUCCCUGCUGGUGGAGCAAUCACCUACGGCCACAAAGCUCAACGUUGCCACUGACCAAUUCUGAAAGGUCUGGCCUGUGGUAGCAGCAGGCAAAGACUACCCAAGGAAACCCAAACCCUGUGCCACAAGCAAUUAUUGAAAGGCAUCGUGGGCGCUCAAAAACCUAAGCACGGAUCUAAACACGUGGUUAAAAUGAUGAGUUCUUCCGACCCAGGCUCAGGCUAAAGGAAGAGAAAGGUACAGAGCAUGCCAGCUCACCCAAGACCCGUCCUGAAUACCCUUAAAUACGCCUAGUGUAGAUGGGUCUCUGCCAUCCUUACUGGUUUAGUCUAAGCCAGUUCAUGUAAAACCCACGAAACAAAGGAAGCAUGCUAAGAAAAGAUUUAAACCACAACAAUGGAGCGAUUUCCUAGAAUAAAGUAUGGACUGCAGAACAAAAUCAGAGCAAUCCAAUUUUUGCUAGUUUACAUUCCCUUGCUAAGGGGUAAGGGUGGUACUCUAUGGGUUUGGAGGAGGAAGGGUGCCCACAGCCCAGAUGGAAACAGUUGACCAACCCAAUAUCGAUGGGAUGAGAACAGUUCUGAGCUGUGUGGCUUUUCUCUUCUUUUUCUUUUUUCUUUUUUCUUUUUCCUUCUUUACUUUUUCUUUGUCUUUUUUUGUUAUUGUUAAACAAGCCCGUAAGCUGAUCUAGAAUCAUUUAAUGAACCAUACCUGUACUUCUUCAUUUAAAAAAAAAUCAAGGUUUUUUGUUGUUGUUGUUGUUUAUAGGGACUAAAAUCAGUAGGAGAGGGCUCACACCAGAAGAAGGGACCUCCUAGAGAGUGGGACCAAUCUAAACAAAUCAGCAAGGAGACUUCCAUUUUAACCAUGGCUGGGAGGGGGCUGGGACUCAGGUAGAGAGCCUCCCUUGUUUGUCUCAAUCUGCAUCGCAACACAAGUAAACAAAUAAGCAAAAGCCUGCCCACCAGAAACGGAUACUCUUGCCGGGAGUAAGAAUUUGACCUAAUUCUCAAUCAGCUGUGUUCUUUCCAGACAGAUUUGGACACAUCUAUGACUAAAACACAAAGGUUGAGCUGCAAUAAAAAGAAAAGAACAUUGAAUUUGGAGUCCUAGCCCCACUCCCAUUCCUAAGCCAGCUAGAUCACUUGCCCCUGGGCAGCCUCAAAGAACCAUUGAACAUGGGAUCCCCAAGAACAAGAACAAGUUUUGGAGAUCUCUUCCUGCCCAAGAGCUCACCACGAAGCUCCCUGUCUUUCUGGAGUUGGGGCAGGUGUGGGGGUUGGGGGUGGAGGUGGUGGGGACCGGUAUACUAGAACAAAGGCUUCAAGUUUGCAUACUUUGCCUUGUCUACUGCAGACUACAAGAGUCAUUUCUUACAAAUUCAGAGAAUCUUAGUAACAUGUGAUCAAUACCUGGAUGAUAAAAGGACUCGUUUAAAACCUUUUAUAACAGAGAUUAAAAAUACGUAGAAAUUAAAAAAAAAAGAAAAACCUUGUAAAAAUCUCAGGUACCCCUUAGAAAAGAACUCAGUGGCUCCCAAACUGAGAGCUAAUGAUGUGGAAGGUUAUCAAACCUUGCCUUGGUUGUAAAAGGCUUAGUGCCUUCAUUCUCUUCAGACCUAAAACUUUUAAGGCCAGUAUUUAAAAGCAAGUACCAUGCGGGAGUGAGAGUCGUAGAGUCCCCGGGUGCAGGAAACAGAACAGGUGGAGAGCUGGCUGACCACAAUACUGACUUCAUACAAGUUUCUCAAACGUGUAGCCUGCCUACAAAACAGCAUGCCUCCCCUCCUCCCCACUCUUCUUCCAGAACCAAUGUUUUCCCCACUUCCAUACACACUCACUUGAAAACACUUUUACCAACACCGAAGUCUGCCCACAAAGCUCCUUUGGGCCAUUUCCUAUCCUCACCCAAGUUCCACCUCAUCUAAGCAAUUCUUUUCAGACACGUAGAACUUUGGUUUAUUGAGCACAUAUUUGCUUCCAUAUUAAGUCUCAUAAAAAAAAAUUAGACCAGGCAAGAUGACAAAGGGAAGGCGGGGAUCAGCAUGAAAUAAAUGGGGACUUGUCCCCCAAAUGUUCACUAGUCAGUCAAAAAGAAAUUCUUAGAAAGUCGAAACAUCAACCCCCCCCCCCCCAACCCAAGCAAAACAUCCCUUCCGGAAAAGAGCGACUUGUUUCUUUCUUUUUUUUUUUCUUUUUUCUUUUCCUCUCUUGAAAAUGAGAGGUCCACUCAGUUCUGCUCAGCGGUGUUUUCUUAGCUGACUCUGGGCUACAAUCGGGCCAUUUUCGGACACAUUCCCAUGUAGGUACCAGGGGUGCUCUGGAGGAAGCUGUCGACGCCUGUUCAGCUAAUUUAGGUUUUCUUUGUCUAAUUACUGUGGAGCUUAGGGAAAAGGAGCCGGGCUCAGGGCAGUAAACUGACACUCGGGCUCUGUGUGUGGUAUCCAGGCAGGGUUUGAUGGAAAAAGCCUGCUUCCACUCAACUCCAGGUCACUGUCUGGGGCCAGCCCCCUCCCCCCCCCCCUGCACCCGCCCUUUCCUCUGUUCCUCAGACCCACCAACAGUCUCCAUCAGGGGCAGUCCCCAUGCACUAGGGCACAGAGCUGGUGCAGGCUCCCCCACCCCCAGGAGGCCAGACCCCACUUGCUCAACCAGGCUCUUUGUAGCAUCUUUACUGGGCCCUGCACUCUCCUCUCUGCCUUGUCUCCCAUCUUCCCAGGCUUUCUGCGUACACAACACAAACCCAGUCCUCUCAGGGCUGGCGCAGUGCUGUGCCUACCAUUUGCUACUCUGAUGGGCAUCUCCUUCCCUCUGGGCCAGGCCACCAGCCCUGGUGUGGUCAGGCCUCCUUCAGCUUGCAACUCGCUUUGCAGCCCCUGUCCGGGGUCAGACUACAUUUCCCCGCACGUGUAAUCCAAUAACUAACUGUCGGGUCUCAUUGGAAUGAUUUCUCCCGAGGGCCAUCUCUCUCUGAGCCGACUCUUACUUAGAGGAAUAAGCCACAACUGGAGGAGUGUUCUCGAAUGGAGGGAGCUGGGCCACGGAACAUAGGGAGUGGGGGGGGGGUGCACCGGAAGACAGACGCUGUAAACCCACUGGCAGCUGUGCAGACCUUCCUUGUUGAUAAUAAAUACAACUAUCUCCUUACUCAGGGUCUCUCUUGCUCUCUCUCAGCAUGAAGUGGAAAUGACAAGUCAGUGGAAAAUGGAAGCAAAUAAAAAACCGAAUCCAUUCGACUCAAAAGAGUGUCUAAGAGGUGGCCCCAGGUUUCUCCACCCAAACCCCUUGCUCAGCUGACAAUCUGUUCAUAACUGCCCCGGGCACAGCUCAAGGGCGUCCAGUGUUUGCCCUCUGCUGUGACCUCUCA